UCCGCAAUGGACGAAAAGUCUGACGGAGCGACGCCGCGUGGGUGAAGAAGGCCUUCGGGUUGUAAAGCCCUGUCAUUAGGGACGAAUGGCAGGAAGAGUAAUAUGCUUUCUGAUUGACGGUACCUAAGGAGGAAGCCCCGGCUAACUAUGUGCCAGCAGCCGCGGUAAUACAUAGGGGGCGAGCGUUGUCCGGAAUCAUUGGGCGUAAAGGGCGCGUAGGCGGGAAUAUAAGUCUGUUUUUAAAGUUCAGGGCUCAACCCUGUGAUGGAAUGGAAACUGUAUUUCUUGAGGGCAGGAGAGGAAAGUGGAAUUCCUAGUGUAGCGGUGAAAUGCGUAGAUAUUAGGAGGAACACCAGUGGCGAAGGCGGCUUUCUGGACUGCAUCUGACGCUGAGGCGCGAAAGCUGGGGGAGCGAACAGGAUUAGAUACCCUGGUAGUCCCAGCCGUAAACGAUGGAUACUAGGUGUGGGGGGUAUCGACCCCUCCCGUGCCGGAGUUAACGCAAUAAGUAUCCCGCCUGGGGAGUACGGUCGCAGAGGGCUGAAACUCAAAGGAAUUGACGGGGGCCCGCACAAGCGGUGGAGUAUGUGGUUUAAUUCGAUGCAACGCG
rnacentral:rRNA from 1 species